AUUGAACGCUGGCGGCAUGCUUUACACAUGCAAGUCGAACGGUAACAGGUUAAGCUGACGAGUGGCGAACGGGUGAGUAAUGCAUCAGAACGUGCCCGAUCGUGGGGGAUAACGCAGCGAAAGCUGCGCUAAUACCGCAUACGAUCUGAGGAUGAAAGCGGGGGACCGUAAGGCCUCGCGCGAUCGGAGCGGCCGAUGUCAGAUUAGGUAGUUGGUGGGGUAAAGGCUCACCUAGCCGACGAUCUGUAGCUGGUCUGAGAGGACGACCAGCCACACUGGGACUGAGACACGGCCCAGACUCCUACGGGAGGCAGCAGUGGGGAAUUUUGGACAAUGGGCGAAAGCCUGAUCCAGCAAUGCCGCGUGCAGGAAGAAGGCCUUCGGGUUGUAAACUGCUUUUGUACGGAGCGAAAAGGCUCUCUCUAAUACAGGGGGCUCAUGACGGUACCGUAAGAAUAAGCACCGGCUAACUACGUGCCAGCCGCCGCAGUAA
rnacentral:rRNA from 1 species